UAACGAUUUAAACUUAAACAAUAACCAUUUUUAUGUUUAUUCUAUCUUGUUUUCUUAGUUUUAGCGUGAAGGCGCAUUUUUGCUAAAGCGAAUUGACCGUUAUUAACUUUUAUUUUAGGUAUUCUCAUCUGUAAAAGGAGUAAUAUAUGUAACGUUAACUGUGAUCAUUUUAAGAUAACGUUAUGCUGUCGACUUGACGGUGCACCGUGCAUCAUAUUCGCAUUUAGAUAGAUUAUGAGUUAUUAUUAUAAUUAUUUUUUUUAAUAACAGAUUCGUCAUUUCAGCGUUCUUUGCUAACGUUUUGCUUUGCAAAUAAGCCAAAACGUUGCUCAAACACACUUCAUUAUUGUAACUUAUACGUUAUCUAUAUAUUAUAUUGUCUUACAAGUAUUUGUAAAUUUGAUAAUUUCGAGAUAUGUAUUCAAAUGACUGUGUACUUUUACAAGUAUAUAUAUAUAAAUACCUGCUUUGUCAUCUCGAUGUGCAUUUUACUUUGCAUGAAAUAUAGUUUUGAAAUAUACCAAAACAUUGACAUAGUGUGUUUGUCAUUCAUCUGUAUAUAAACUAAAAAAAAUAAAAAUCCUGUUAAAAGUUGUGUCCAUGAAAGGGAACAUGAAUUCUUUUCAAGUCGUAAUUUUAUUAAAAAUAUAUAAAUAAUAAUAAUAAAGUGCAUGUCAUCUUUACUAUUUCAGAAACCUCAUCAGUGGGACAAUAACUCAAUUAUGAUAUGUGAGUUUUGUGGAAACGUAAAGUGUGUGGAAGAAGCAUCACAGAAGUAUCCAAUAUGUUUAAGUAACUGAAACAUUCUAAGAUUAAACUUGGACAUUUUGAGGAGAGAUUCAGUCAACCUCUUCACAGUAAAUUAAAUAAAAGCGGAAUUAAUGCGGAUAACGACUGUGCCACUUCUGUCAACGUUCAUAGCAGCUGGACAGAUACACUGUUGAUCAAAUUAAAGUUUUCAGCAGCAAAGGAGCUUCUGGACAAAAGAUAUCACACACAUUGCAGUUGCAGACAAGGUGUGGUAAAUUGCGUUACAGUUCUUUGGAACUAAUUACAAAGACUGAACUAUAAUCAAUCACUGUUUUUAAUAUUGUGUCAUAUUUUUCAAUGCGAAGAUAUACACUUCAAAUGAGACAGUGUCAUAAAGAGUCUGUGUGUGUAUCUCAAUGGGGACAUUACAACACUUUCAGUUCUCCAGAAUUCUUCCAGAAUUCCAGGUUUGUACUGUAUAUAUUUUUUUGUUAUGACCUACACGUAUAGUAUAUUGCUGUGUGCUGCCAAUAUUUCAGUGAAACUAAACAAGGUGUUAUAUAUUUAUUCAUUUGUUCAUUUACUUGCUUAGGACUGCAAUCCUGAAGGAACUGAGGGAGGAAUUUCUGAGACCACUCUGGGCCCUUUUGUGACCCUUAAAGAAAGUGCUGAGGAUGAGCCAGUGGAUAUUGGCGUAGCAACAGAGGGUUUAAAACUGCUACAACACUUAGGAGUUUUUCCUUUGGAUGCUGUUUGCUGUUUGGAUUGAUCUACGCAAUCAAGCUAUGCUCCGAGUCUCAAAUUCACUUUUGAAUUCUUCCAGAAGGUACUGAUGAAUUUAGAUUUUAGGACAUCACAUAGAUGUUUCGAUCCACUGGAAGGACUUAGAAAACUUUCAAACUUCUGUAACAUUGAAUUGAAGACUAUGAUCGAUGACACUAUGAACCAAUGACACUAACUCAAAUCAAGAGACUACAUCUAAUGCACCUUCUGGCUUCCUCUAACUCUGAUAUUUUUAAAGGGUUAGUUCACCUAAAAAUGAAAUUUCUGUCAUUAAUUACUCACCCUCAUGUCGUUCCACACCCGUAAGACCUUUGUUCAUCUUUGGAACACAAAUUAGGUUAUUUUUGAUGAAAUCCGUGAGCUAUCUGACCUCAGAUAGACUGCAACACAACUACCACUUUCAAGGCACAGAAAGGUAGUAAAGACAUUGUUAAAAUAGUCAAUGUGACUGCAGUGGUUCAACCUUAAUGUUAUGAAGUGACAAGAAUACUAUUUGAGCGCAAAAAAAA